rnacentral:rRNA from 1 species
ACUUAAAUUGAAGAGUUUGAUCAUGGCUCAGAUUGAACGCUGGCGGCAGGCCUAACACAUGCAAGUCGAGCGGAAACGGCAGUAUUGAAGCUUCGGUGGAUUUA